rnacentral:rRNA from 1 species
GAUGAACGCUAGCGGCAGGCUUAAUACAUGCAAGUCGAGGGGCAGCAUGAAUGUAGCAAUACAUUUGAUGGCGACCGGCAAACGGGUGCGGAACACGUACACAACCUUCCUAUAAGUGGGGAAUAGCCCAGAGAAAUUUGGAUUAAUACCCCGUAACAUAAUGAUGUGGCAUCACAUUAUUAUUAUAGCUACGGCGCUUAUUGAUGGGUGUGCGGCUGAUUAGAUAGUUGGCGGGGUAACGGCCCACCAAGUCUACGAUCAGUAGCUGAUGUGAGAGCAUGAUCAGCCACCCGGGCACUGAGACACGGGCCCGACUCCUACGGGAGGCAGCAGUAAGGAAUAUUGGUCAAUGGACGCAAGUCUGAACCAGCCAUGCCGCGUGAAGGAUUAAGGUCCUCUGGAUUGUAAACUUCUUUUAUCUGGGACGAAAAAAGGCGAUUCUUCGUCACUUGACGGUACCAGAUGAAUAAGCACCGGCUAACUCCGUGCCAGCCGCCGCCGUAACAC